rnacentral:rRNA from 1 species
GCGAGCGUUGUUCGGAAUUACUGGGCGUAAAGGGCGCGCAGGCGGCCUUAGAAGUCAGAUGUGAAAGCCCCGGGCUCAACCUGGGAAUGGCAUUUGAUACUCUGAGGCUGGAGUACGGGAGAGGAGAGUGGAAUUCCCAGUGUAGAGGUGAAAUUCGUAGAUAUUCGGAAGAACACCAGUGGCGAAGGCGACUCACUGGACACGUAUUGACGCUGAGGUGCGAAAGCGUGGGGAGCAAACAGG